GGUGCUGCAUGGCUGUCGUCNCUCGUGUCGUGAGUGUUGGGUUAGUCCCGCAAGACGCAACCCUUGCCAUUAGUGCCACAUUAAGUGGGCACUCUAAUGGGACUGCCGGUGACAAACCGGAGGAAGGUGGGGAUGACGUCAAGUCCUCAUGGCCCUUAUGGGUAGGGCUUCACACGUCAUACAAUGGUCGGGACAGAGGUUGCCAAGCGCGAGCGGAGCCAAUCUCAGAAACCCGAUCGUAGUCCGGAUCGCAGUCUGCAACUCGAUGCCGUGAAGUCGAAUCGCUAGUAAUCCGCGGAUCAGCAUGUCNGCGGUGAAUACGUCCCGGGCCCUUGUACACA
rnacentral:rRNA from 1 species